rnacentral:rRNA from 1 species
CCUACGGGAGGCAGCAGUGGGGAAUAUUGCACAAUGGGGGAAACCCUGAUGCAGCGACGCCGCGUGAGCGAUGAAGUAUUUCGGUAUGUAAAGCUCUAUCAGCAGGGAAGAAGAUGACGGUACCUGACUAAGAAGCCCCGGCUAACUACGUGCCAGCAGCCGCGGUAAUACGUAGGGGGCAAGCGUUAUCCGGAUUUACUGGGUGGAAAGGGAGCGUAGACGGCGAUGCAAGUCUGAAGUGAAAGGCGGGGGCCCAACCCCCGGACUGCUUUGGAAACUGUAUGGCUGGAGUGCAGGAGAGGUAAGUGGAAUUCCUAGUGUAGCGGUGAAAUGCGUAGAUAUUAGGAGGAACACCAGUGGCGAAGGCGGCUUACUGGACUGUAACUGACGUUGAGGCUCGAAAGCGUGGGGAGCAAACAGGAUUAGAUACCCCAGUAGUC